CAUGACAGGUGGACCCAACAAUGGGGG
rnacentral:piRNA from 1 species